UACGUAGGGGGCAAGCGUUGUCCGGAUUUAUUGGGCGUAAAGAGCGUGUAGGCGGCCGCACAGGUCCGUUGUGAAAACUGGAGGCUUAACCUUCAGACGUCGAUGGAAACCGUGCGGCUAGAGUCCGGAAGAGGAGAAUGGAAUUCCGGGUGUAGCGGUGAAAUGCGUAGAGAUCCGGAGGAACACCAGUGGCGUAGGCGGCUCUCUGGGUCCGCCCUGACGCUGAGGCGCGAAAGCUAGGGGAGCAAACGGG
rnacentral:rRNA from 1 species